CUGGCGGCGUGCUUAACACAUGCAAGUCGAACGCUGAAGCCCCAGCUUGCUGGGGUGGAUGAGUGGCGAACGGGUGAGUAACACGUGAGUAACCUUCCCUUGACUCUGGGAUAAGCCUGGGAAACCGGGUCUAAUACCGGAUGCGACCGUCCACCGCAUGGUGGUCGGUGGAAAGAUUUAUCGGUCUUGGAUGGACUCGCGGCCUAUCAGCUUGUUGGUGGGGUAAUGGCCCACCAAGGCGACGACGGGUAGCCGGCCUGAGAGGGUGACCGGCCACACUGGGACUGAGACACGGCCCAGACUCCUACGGGAGGCAGCAGUGGGGAAUAUUGCACAAUGGGCGCAAGCCUGAUGCAGCGACGCCGCGUGAGGGAUGACGGCCUUCGGGUUGUAAACCUCUUUCAGUAGGGAAGAAGCGAAAGUGACGGUACCUGCAGAAGAAGCGCCGGCUAACUACGUGCCAGCAGCCGCGGUAAUACGUAGGGCGCGAGCGUUAUCCGGAAUUAUUGGGCGUAAAGAGCUCGUAGGCGGUUUGUCGCGUCUGCCGUGAAAGUCCGGGGCUUAACCCCGGAUCUGCGGUGGGUACGGGCAGACUGGAGUGCAGUAGGGGAGACUGGAAUUCCUGGUGUAGCGGUGAAAUGCGCAGAUAUCAGGAGGAACACCGAUGGCGAAGGCAGGUCUCUGGGCUGUUACUGACGCUGAGGAGCGAAAGCAUGGGGAGCGAACAGGAUUAGAUACCCUGGUAGUCCAUGCCGUAAACGUUGGGCACUAGGUGUGGGGGCCAUUCCACGGUUUCCGCGCCGCAGCUAACGCAUUAAGUGCCCCGCCUGGGGAGUACGGCCGCAAGGCUAAAACUCAAAGGAAUUGACGGGGGCCCGCACAAGCGGCGGAGCAUGCGGAUUAAUUCGAUGCAACGCGAAGAACCUUACCAAGGCUUGACAUGUUCUCGACCGCCACAGAGAUGUGGUUUCCCCUUUGGGGCGGGU
rnacentral:rRNA from 1 species